GCUUGGAUAGCUCACUUGGUUAGAACGUGGUGCAAAUAGCGCUAAGGUUGCAGGUUCGAUCCAGCUGCAUAUUCGUGCA